rnacentral:rRNA from 1 species
UUAAAGGUACCCGUACCGCAAACCGACACAGGUGGGUGAGGAGAGUAUCCUAAGGCCCGCGAGAGAACUGUUGUUAAGGAACUCGGCAAAAUGACCCCGUAACUUAGGGAUAAGGGGUGCCACCAUCCGGUGGCCGCAGAGAAUAGGCCCAAGCGACUGUUUACCAAAAACAUAGGUUUCUGCUAAGUCGCAAGACGAUGUAUAGGAGCUGACGCCUGCCCGGUGCUGGCAGGUUAAGGGGAUCUGUUAGAGCAAUCGAAGCAGUGAACUUAAGCCCCAGUAAACGGCGGCCGUAACUAUAACGGUCCUAAGGUAGCGAAAUUCCUUGUCGGGUAAGUUCCGACCCGCACGAAAGGCG